CCUACGGGAGGCAGCAGUGGGGAAUAUUGCGCAAUGGCCGAAAGGCUGACGCAGCGACGCCGCGUGGGGGAUGAAGCAUUUCGGUGUGUAAACCCCUGUUGCUCGGGACGAACAACUGGUUUUGACCAGUCUGACGGUACCGGGUGAGGAAGCACCGGCUAACUCCGUGCCAGCAGCCGCGGUAAUACGGAGGGUGCGAGCGUUGUCCGGAAUCACUGGGCGUAAAGGGCGCGUAGGCGGUCUGCUAAGCGUGUGGUGAAAGCUCGGGGCUCAACCCUGAGUCGGCCAUGCGAACUGGUGGACUAGAGCACUGUAGAGGCAGGUGGAAUUCCGGGUGUAGCGGUGGAAUGCGUAGAGAUCCGGAAGAACACCGGUGGCGAAGGCGGCCUGCUGGGCAGUAGCUGACGCUGAGGCGCGACAGCGUGGGGAGCAAACAGGAUUAGAUACCCUGGUAGUCCACGCCGUAAACGAUGGGCACUAGGUGCUUGGGGGAGCGACCCCCCGAGUGCCGGCGCUAACGCAUUAAGUGCCCGCCUGGGGNGACGACGCAGUGACGACANAGAUGNGNGNGNGAGNGCGAGACGACGACGAGGGAGGAGG
rnacentral:rRNA from 1 species